rnacentral:piRNA from 1 species
UUGUUGGUUCAGACUCCUCCGCUUGG